UACGUAGGGUGCGAGCGUUGUCCGGAAUUAUUGGGCGUAAAGGGUUCGCAGGCGGCCUUGUAAGUCAGAUGUGAAAGACAGCGGCUUAACCGUUGUAAGCAUUUGAAACUGCAGGGCUUGAGUACAGGAGAGGAAAGCGGAAUUCCUAGUGUAGCGGUGAAAUGCGUAGAUAUUAGGAGGAACACCAGUGGCGAAGGCGGCUUUCUGGACUGAUACUGACGCUGAGGAACGAAAGCGUGGGGAGCAAACAGGAUUAGAUACCCCUGUAGU
rnacentral:rRNA from 1 species